rnacentral:misc_RNA from 1 species
UUUCCGUAGGUGAACCUGCGGAAGGAUCAUUAACAAGUCUCUGCUGCGGGAGUUACUCUCCCGACGCUUGUGCUGCGCGCCCCGUGCGCGUAGAAUACACAUUCUUUUUGACUGAUACUUGCAAAGAACACGAACAACUUUUAACAAUGGAUCUCUAGGCUCUUACAUCGAUGAAGAACGCAGC